rnacentral:lncRNA from 1 species
AAAUGAUCUGAGUCACUGAUCUCUAAUGGGCCAAUUUAACUCCUGCCAAAGCCCAAACUGCCUCUCGCGUUCCCCAGCUGAAGGUCCCAGCAAUAUGCAAUUGUCAGAGUGAGUCUUUGCCCUUGACGCAGUGCAAUCUUUUUCUGUUUUGAAAGCAUCACUAUAAAAUGCUGGCUACUCACGUCUAACUCUUGGUGAUUCUCCCCUCCUCCUUUCUUUUAAUUCCCUCUGCCUUUUUAACAGUUCUCCUUUAUUCUUUCUCCAUCCUAUUUUAGGAUUUUGCAGCAGCAGAGAAGAGAAGAUUUUGCUGUAGCGAUUGUGAGGAGUCUUUUCUAUACAGGUAUCGCUGGAUGUAAUGGCACUAUGUAAGUUGCACUUUAUUUUCUAGAGGAUCUACAUGCUUUCUAGGCUSUCUCCUCAACAGGUCAUUUGGGACCCUGCAGCAGUGAGCCAGUGGAAAUGGAUGUCAACAAAGAACCAGAGAACUGGGAUCCUUUCAGCAUUGUGAAGCACUUUAAUGGAGGAGCACAUUGCUCAGGCAACGCAAACAGCUAUUUAAAUCUUGGAGGUCGACUGGAAGGCUUUUGCUUAGAGGUUCCCCCCUCCCCCCUUUUUUUCUUUCCUUGUUAAUGGCAAGUAUAAUGGAAGAGAGAGACUUCUCAUUGAUCAGGGUCCAAUUUCUUUUACAUCGGCAUUUUCACUGUUUUUGAAAUCACAAUUAAAAACAUUUUUAAUAUUGAGUUGCUUCAGCUCUACCACAUGGUCUUUUAUGAAUGCUUUCUUGCAGGCAAAUCAGUUUUUAAUGUGAACCAACACCCUUCCUUUUACCAUGAACUAUAAUAGAUUUGUUCUUCAGUGUGCGCUCAAAUGUUGUCACUUUUUUUAACCCUGGACAUGUCCAGUUUUGUAUAUUGCAUGGCAGAAUCAAAGCUGAAAUGGUGUUUUGAAAAGGUGAUUUUAGACCUGCUGUUUUUGAAGGACGACAGAGCCCUCCGAAGAACGUCUGUGAUCUUCUGAGUAUUUCCUAUAAAGCAUCCCCCAAGCACAGUUUUCUGAAAGUAUUUUCCUCUGUAGCAAAGGCUUAAAAAAAAAAAAAAAUUAAAAAAAAUAGUAUGCUUUCUGUGCUGGUAACACCUGGUUGCAGAACGUGUCCUGACAUCAGUAAUGUGGUUGCUCUGCUCUUUUAGAAAUAGUGUGGGGAAUAAAAAGAAGAAAAAGCUGACCUUUUGCCA